GAUGAACGCUGGCGGCGUGCUUAACACAUGCAAGUCGAACGGUGAAGCCAAGCUUGCUUGGUGGAUCAGUGGCGAACGGGUGAGUAACACGUGAGCAACCUGCCCUGGACUCUGGGAUAAGCGCUGGAAACGGCGUCUAAUACUGGAUAUGAGCUUCUACCGCAUGGUGGGGGUUGGAAAGAUUUUUUGGUCUGGGAUGGGCUCGCGGCCUAUCAGCUUGUUGGUGGGGUAAUGGCUCACCAAGGCGUCGACGGGUAGCCGGCCUGAGAGGGUGACCGGCCACACUGGGACUGAGACACGGCCCAGACUCCUACGGGAGGCAGCAGUGGGGAAUAUUGCACAAUGGGCGAAAGCCUGAUGCAGCAACGCCGCGUGAGGGAUGUCGGCCUUCGGGUUGUAAACCUCUUUUAGCAGGGAAGAAGCGUAAGUGACGGUACCUGCAGAAAAAGCGCCGGCUAACUACGUGCCAGCAGCCGCCGUAA
rnacentral:rRNA from 1 species